rnacentral:rRNA from 1 species
GUGUCAGCAGCCGCGGUAAUACGGGGGGAGCAAGCGUUGUUCGGAUUUACUGGGCGUAAAGGGCGCGUAGGCGGUCAGCACAAGUCAGUUGUGAAAUCUCCGGGCUUAACUCGGAAAGGUCAACUGAUACUGUGCGACUAGAGUGCGGAAGGGGCAACUGGAAUUCUCGGUGUAGCGGUGAAAUGCGUAGAUAUCGAGAGGAACACCUGCGGCGAAGGCGGGUUGCUGGGCCGACACUGACGCUGAUGCGCGAAAGCCAGGGGAGCGAACGGGAUUAGAUACCCCGGUAGUCCUGGCCUUAAACGAUGGAUGCUUGGUGUCUGGAGUUUUAUAGUCUCCGGGUGCCGUAGCUAACGCGUUAAGCAUCCCGCCUGGGGAGUACGGUCGCAAGACUGAA